rnacentral:rRNA from 1 species
UAUGUAGGCGGCUUUUCAAGUCAGGUGUGAAAUCCCAUGGCUUAACCAUGGAACUGCAUUUGAAACUGUAAAGCUUGAGUAUUGGAGAGGAUGGUAGAAUUCCUGGUGUAGUGGUGAAAUACGUAGAUAUCAGGAGGAAUACCGGUGGCGAAGGCGGCCAUCUGGCCAAAUACUGACGCUGAGAUACGAAAGUGUGGGGAUCAAACA